CUUGUCCAGUAGGGGGCUGCAAGUUGAAUGGGGACUGCCAUAUAUGGUAAAAAAUGGCACACUGUGCCUCAGAGGAUCCCGAGGCCUGUUGAAGAAGGUCCCUGCAGAGAGAGCUUCUGUGGGCUGGUUAUUUGUUAAGCCUAUAUUUAUUACUUUCAGGCUUUCAAGAAGGGGAGACAGAAACAGACUAUAUCUUAAUGCCACAGACAAGAAAGAACUCUAAACAAGCCAACACCACCACCAAAAGGAAAUACCUCAGUUUGGACACAGGAGUCUGAGCAAGUCUCUGUAACCUUUAUUUUAUUUUAUUUUGCAAAUUCUGUUGUUUGUGUUAAGAAAGCAGCUUUAAAGUGCAAAGUUGUCAUUUAGUUGUUGUUAUUGUGUUUCAUUUAUAUGGGAAGUUAAAGGAAUCUCACGAGGCAGGAUCACACUGCCAAUUGUAAAACAACCCAUACAUGGUGUAAAGAAAGUGUUAGACCAGCAGCCUCCUCUUCUCUGUGCUUUCUACAAGCUUUUCAAGGGAUGUGAGGAGAAGAGGCGCUUCUUACAAACCAUGCAAGGGGCAGAUUGGCUGCAAAGAGAGCUGAUUCAGAAGCAGCGGCAGAGGCCAUCUUGCCAUCCUAUUGGUGUUCCAAUAGUCUGGCUGAUGGAGCUGAUGGAGGCCACUGCCUCACCUUGCCUCAUGAAAGGACUGUCUCUUCUGAAGGAUCUGGGAUCUGAAAUACAUCAAGUUUGUUGAGCACAUUCUUCACAGAAGGGGGGAUGUCAAUGAACUGGGAGGCACUAUCCACUUUGGUGACUGCGCUCCUGGGCUUGGCUUCGAAGUCACUUUCUGAACCAUCACCUGAGCUUCCCGAAUGUGAUGCAGAUGAUGAAGAUUCCUCAGCACCCGCAUUGGGAACAAGGGAUGGCAGCUUUUCCCACGCAACAAACUUCUGGAUUUCCAUGACUGUAGCACAUUGGGGACCAUAAAACCUUACCCAGAACAAAGAAGUUACUGGUGAGGCGUAUUUUUCAAAUGGGUUGGUUUCCUUGCAGUUAAGCAGGAACUCAUCACCAGGAGAUGAAGAGAUUCUGUUUGUGUAUUUGAUGCCAUAGUUGCCAUUCCAUUGUUUCUAAUCCAUGACCUCAUUGGUUGGACAACAGCUAUUUGCAUAGAAAGAUGUUCCAAGAAACAGCCACUGAUAGUUCUGUAAGCUCAACUGGGUGUUUCUUAUAGAACAGGUCCCCAGAAUGCAUAAAUGCCUUGGAGAGGCAGUGAAGUGCAAUGGGUUAUUCCAUUUUCCACCUCAACCAGUGACCAGCUAUAAAGGGUUGCUAUGCUGUAUAUCAGCAGCAGAGAGGGUCCCUCCCCCUGCUUGGCUCCUGCACUUCUGAACCUCACACAUAUAACCAUUAGAGAAUGCUACAGAAAUAUUUGGUGCCAUUCGUUAAUGUUUUGCUUUCUUAUUCAACAUCGAAUAUUAAUAAGCUUUAUUGUUUCUAGUCAAUGCCAAUUAUUGUUUCACUCCCUGCCGAAAUCUGUAAUCUGAAUUCUUUACUGGCCUUCAGGAGAGCCCUCAAAACCUAUCUGUCUGGCCUGGCCUUCUAGGGUUUUUUAAUUGUUGUCAGUGGUUUUAAUAUUGUAACCUGGUUUUUCAGGAUUUUAAAACUGUUUUGAAUGUUUUAACUGUUACUGUUUUAUGGUGUUUUACAACCUCUGUUUUUAAUUGCUAAUUGAUUUUAGUUGUUUUGUUUUAAUGUAAACUGCCCUGAGCCAUUUGGAAAGGGUGAUAUAGAAAUUGAAUAAAUAAAUAAAUAAUUACAAUACAAACAAAUCAAACAUAGUAAAAUAAGCAGUGAACUAAACACACAGAAAUCACCCAGCAAAUAAUAAAAUGACCGUAUUCAUUUACAUUUUUUAAACUCCUGGCAGUCUACAUAGUUUUGAGCCAGAAAAUUUUUUUUGGAGCUUCCUGACUGCCAGUGCAUACAAUACUGCUCUACAGGCAAGUUCUCACAAUCUUCCAGUAGGUAGAACAAGAGUCCUAGCCAAGUUUGGGAGCUGCACAUGCUCCUGUUUUGCUAUCAUGUGCUGGUAAAAAAGCAAGAUAGGAAGUGGGGGAAGUGAUCCUCUGCGAAGCUCGCACUGGGUAAGAGGCAUAUCUCUGAUGUCACUCUGCUUUUGGGCUAAUCUGGAUUUAAGACUUUCCCUCUGAAUUUAUUUAUUUGUUUAUCAUAUUUAUAUACUGCCUGAUAUGUGAAUCUCUAGGCAGUGUACACAAUUUAAAACAGCAAAUGUAAAACAGAGUAAAAACAAUUAAAACAGCUUCACAGGAUAAAACAGUUAAAAACAAUUUCAUGGGAUAAAGAAAGUUUAAAAUUAAUUUCAUUUAAAAGCCUGAGUGAACAAGUGUGUCUUGAGGGUCUUCCUAAAAGCAAACAAAGGUGGAGAUGCUCUUAUUUUAACAGGGAGCAUAUUACACAGCCCUGGGGCAGCCACAGAGAAGGCCCAGUCAGGAAUUGCCAGUAAAUGAGCUGGCAUGGCAUCACCUGUAACCUGACAUCUCCAGAUGAUCUCAAUAGGUGACAGGAUUCAUGACAAAGAAGGCUCUCAAGGGCUUUGUUGAGGUCUUUAUAGGUCUGUCCUUCUCCUUAAUGGGUCUAAAUUUACAUGUCUAAAAGUGGGUCUGGUUUGAGCUGAUUACCUAUUGUGAAGAAGAGUUUAAGAUUAUACCUUGAUGACACUGUCCCUUGGAUGACAAAAGUAAGGAUUGUCCUCAUUCAUUAACAAAAGGGAGGAAUGUCCCCCAUUUCAGAGCCCUCAGGGUCUAGUGAAAGUGUCAGGGGCUCUUGAACUAAGAUAACUAACUAAAUUAAAUUAACUAACUAACUAAAUGCAGCCUGCAUUUCGCCACACAUGGCUUUGAAGAAGGAAGUUAGGAACCUAUUCGUAAAGAAGGAGACCCUAGUGCAGUUCUAAGAAGCGCAUCAGGUGUACUAUGUGGAACUGCAAGAAGUGCACAUAAGAACUUGUUCUGAAUUAUAUCAACAUAGUUUCUGUUGGAACAACUCCUCAUUGCUGCACCAUAUUUUAUUUGUUUGUUUAUUUAUUUAACAUAUUUCUAUAUUUCUAUAUUGCCCAAAACUUGCGUCUCUGGGUUGUUUACAAUUAAAAAUAUCUAUAUAACAAAUUGCUGCACCACAACAAACCAUUUCCAUAACAAAAGCCGUUAACAUUGCAUCUGGCAAAUAAUGAUCUUUAGUAUUGUAACCAUAUGAGUUUAGCCCCCUGUUGGAGCACAUGGACUGAUUUUUUUUGGACCUUUGUGGGGCUACCAUCGUGUGGAUCUGGGGGCAGAAUUUGUUCUGAGGGAAGAGCUGGACUGGGCGAAGAGAAGGGAACAAAAGGAAAACAUUUAAGUUCUGGAGUGAUAGGAUUAGAGUGACAGAAAGAAGACAAGCCAGAAGAUAAGUCAAGCAGGAAUACAACAUCAGCUCUCUUCAGGAGAAGAGUGGAGUGAGGGACAGGUCCUACCCAAUUAAACCAUUGGACUCUUGAGGGUUUGCUGCCUGCUGCUUACUUGUGCUAGGAGGCCCAAGAGAGCAUGGAAACAAUAUCAGCAGCUUGUAAGGAGGGAGGGUUACUUAGAUUCCACUCAAGUUGAGUGGGAAGAAGGCGCCAUUGAAUGCACAUGUGCACACACUGCCUUGGUACUGCCAACCAGAGCAAAACUCAUUCCAUACACAGAUGGAAAAAAUUAGUGGGAACACUGAAGGGAGAAUUUAUUUGCUUGCUACUUGCUCUUGCUUGUUUCUGCAGCCUCAGCUUAGCUAUGGCCUGUGUGCCUCUGAUUAGUAUCAGAAGCUUGUAAGGAGGGGAUGUGGUGGAUGGUGGGGGCAGGGGGAGUUGUUUGCUUGCGUUUUGCUCUUUGCUUGCUUGCUUCUGCAGCCUAAGGUUAGCCAUGGCCAGAGUGCCUCUGAAGGAGAUAGGGCAAUUAAUUUGAUGAUGGUGGGGGAGUCCUACUUGCUAUAUAAUAAGAAUUCUGGAAUGGCUGGGCAGAGUGGAUUCUAUAGUGCUACUGCAUUUUCUGCCAUGGAGAGAGUUGGCUGAGCUAGAUCCUUUCCCCCUGUUUUUUACUUGCAGGGGGAGUUUUUCGCAAAGCACAAUGUUAAAAAAUGAGACUCUGAAGUCUGAAGGUUUAUUAGACUUAUUCUGAUAGGUUUGAGAGGGUCCUGCAAAUGUCUCAAAGUGGUUUAACAAAGCAAAAGGUAAAAGAAAAUGUACACAGUAUGUCAUCAGUCAAUAAUUCUGUAAUCAGAAGGAACAUGUUUUAUGGGGAAGUCCUUUUCUGUUUCUUCAUUUAUUUUAUUUAUCAUAUUUAUAUACCACCUGAUAGGUGUAUCUCUAGCAUACCACUAUGGCUAGCACUGACAGAGACAGAUGGAGAAAAUAUGACUUGGAAGCAGAAAAAGAAUGGAAAAAAUAAAGUUGGAAGAACUCAAAAAUGUGAUGAAAUUUGAUCACAUCAAAGGUUUCACUGACUUUCUGCAGAAAUAUUGGAACACUGGAUUUGCUUCAGCUAAGAACACAACAACUGAAGUAGCAUCAGGAAUGGAAUGGAUGUUGAGCCUAAAUUCAGAGAAAAACACUGGGAAAAUCAAAAGAGAAACAACCUGUAUCUCAUUCAGAAGAGGUGCCUGAGAAUUCACCAGAGAAACCAUCUACUUUCUGGCCAUUGUAGAUCAAGCUCUCAUGUCACUGACAACUUGAUUCAAACAGAUGCAAAGGUAUGCUGACAAUCUUGGUUUCCUGUAUGAUUUGAAGAAAUUUUGAGAAACGGCAGAAGAUUAGUUGAACAAACAGGACAUCGAUUUGGAGAAUGCAUGGAUGGAUGGAGCUUUCCCAGACAGCAGGCUUUACCGCGAGGCUUUUAUGUGAGUUCAAAGCUGCCCAAAGAAACCAAUGCAAAAAGUGGAUUUUUUAACCCCAGAUAUAAAUCAGGCUACAUUCUAAUGUGCAGUGAAAAAUCCAAAUUGUGUGUUAAGUGCUCCCUGAUAGCUCGCAGGGACUUCAUGGUAAAUCUGACCAAUAUGUGAAUGCAUCCUCUCCAUCCUGGAGGAGAUUCGGACUAAAAGCCAGAUGUGGAAAAACUCAUGGAGAAUCUUACGAUAUUGAUGGUAGAGGCCUUUUCUCAGAACUUCACAUGCUACUAGAAGUCAUCCCUGAAGGAACAAGAAUGUAACUUCGAGCCCUACAGUUUCUUACUGAUGCUAGGGCUCAGUUCCUUUGCUAAUACAGCAAUAGCAUAAAGUAUUUUGCUAACAAUCCUUGUUACAGUGGCAUCCAGGGAGCAACGUUUUUCAAAACUAAAAUUAAUCAAAAACUAACUAUAGACAACUGUGUCUCAAGAAAGGCUGAAUGGACUGGCUAUUCUCUCAACUGAGAAGGAAUUAGCUUCAACAUUGGACUACUGUGCUCUGAUGCAGGCUCGGACUAACCCACAGGGCAACGGCAUAUUCCUGGUGCGCCCCAGCCACGUGGCGCCCCUGCGACCCAACUCCCACCCUUAAUUACCUAUUCUGCUCAAAGCUCGGUGCCCUCCCCACAUACAUUCCACCGCCCUCUCAGUGCCCCCAGUCCAGCCCUGCUCUGAUGGCAGAGUUUGCUGCAAGGAAUUCAAGGAAAGUGGAUUUUGGAAUGAAGGCAGUGCAACACUGAUCAGCUCAAGUUGACAUCUUCAGGCAAAAAGCUUGAGGAAAGAAGUGUGUUCCAUAUCUUCUGGCUGUUGCUGUCUGAUAGGUGCAGUGGCUUUACACUGCUUUUAAUCUGCAGAGACCUUUGUCACGUUUGCAUCCUCACAGCAAACCUGUGAGGUAAGUCAUUGCUGUUCCCUUUAAUACACAGCGAGCUGAAGCAUGAAAAUGACUGGCUAGUCAUCUUAGCAGCUGCACUGUCUGGAUUGCUAUGGUGUUUUUGUUUACCAGGAGCAAAGAGUUAUGCAUCCCACUGCUUACAUGCUGCACCUCAAGAUACAACUAGCCCACAAAAUUUCUCACUGUGGAGUGAAUAGUGAGGUUGAAUGGUGAGGCUGAUGUAUCCAGACUGUCAAGUGUAGUUCUGAAAGUCAGCAGAUAAGAUCAACUUCAGAACCAGGUUGCAACACAGUUUGAUCAAUAAACUGUCAUCACCAGUGGUUUCCUUUCUUGCUAUUCUUGCUCCUGAAACCUAAUCUCUUAAAAGUGUAAUGGCUGCUAAACCACAUAAUGCAUACAGAUACUUAAUGAGGAAUGCCUAGUGUUGCUAGUUGAACUUAUUCUGCCCAGCUCCCAGACGCCUCCCUGUUUACAGCUGCAUACCCAGGCUUGGAGACUGCACUUUUGCUAUGCUCAGGAGCUGCACUGCAAUGUGAGCUCCCAGUUUAUGUUAUACAUGGGGACAAGUCUCUUAGUUGGCAGUGGACUGGUCUCCCCUAGAUUUGGCCUGCAAGUAACACAAAUUGCAAAGGGGAUUAGCUCCACACCCCUCUCCCUAUGUGGGGGCCUGGCUAAACAGACUCCAGAACUAACUAUUGUGAGUUAUCUGGCAUCCGAGGUCAUUUUGGAUGAACUUAGGAUGAAUUUAGGAUGAGCUCUAAAACUUCCCUCAUCCUCUCGCAAGAGAGAUAACACUUGAUGCUAAUGAAGCAAUUAGGCCAGGAAGGGAAGGCAGAUAAGACAAAUGCAGCAGCAGACUCCCUCACAAUAGCGAUGAGUCAGUGACAUAACUUUGAAAAGGUGCGCAUUGAAACUUUCUGUAGAAUUAUUGGGAGAGUCAGUCCCAACACAGGAUAUUCUUUGUCGCACCUGCACACUCAGAUUUUCAUUACAACCAGGCUUGCACACAAUAGGUGAUUCACACACCUUCCUACUCAGGAAGGACGAUCAGACACAAUGCAUUCCAAAAAAAGUCUGGACUCUUCUAUUCAGCAAAGUAUGACAACAGAAAUGUGCCAAGAAAUGCUUUGGGAUAUAAAUAUCCCUAACUCCAUGACCCAGUGUACUCUCCUGUGUCUGUCUCUGGAGACUCCAUCUACAGAACAUCGCAACAAUAUGUUCCCCUUUCCAUCCUACUGGGGACUUCAUCUUCAUGCUCCCUUGUGCUUUAUAUUGGGGACUCCACUGCUACAAAUAUUCCCCUCUCCACUGGGGUCACCCAAGCUGAAAUCACUGCCUGCCUGGCCAAUUCAUCGUCCUCAUGCCGAGGCUCAGCUUAUUGUGCCUGUCUUUAGAUCGGUCCCCUUGCCAAUCUAUCCAGCUGGCCUCACACUGGAACUCUCUUUGUGAAGAACCCCACUAAUCCUUCAACUCUCCUGCUCCCCAGUUUGCCUCCCCAGAUGGACUCAGUCUGUCUCCAUUCUCCAGCUGCUCAAGUUGGAUCUUCAUGAGGACGGGUGAUACAGCCUCUUGCCUGGCUCCUUCAGGGCUAAAUCUAUCCCUUUCUCUUAUUUCUGAAACCUUGCCCCUCUAUCUUAAAGUAACUCGCUCUAGCCUGCCUGGGAAUUUACACAUAAUUUGGAACUUGAAGCUAAAUGUGCCUUACAAUAGUCUGUUUUUAAACAUAUUUGUAUGUUGUAAUUUUACAUUAGGACCACCUAGUAACUUAGUUUAUUGCUUUUAUUAUUUUUCUUCCAAUAAACUCCUUUUUGUUAGUUAAAA